AUUGAACGCUGGCGGCAUGCUUUACACAUGCAAGUCGAACGGUAACAGGCCGCAAGGUGCUGACGAGUGGCGAACGGGUGAGUAAUGCAUCGGAACGUGCCCAGUCGUGGGGGAUAACGCAGCGAAAGCUGCGCUAAUACCGCAUACGAUCUGUGGAUGAAAGCGGGGGACCGUAAGGCCUCGCGCGAUUGGAGCGGCCGAUGUCAGAUUAGGUAGUUGGUGGGGUAAAGGCUCACCAAGCCAACGAUCUGUAGCGGGUCUGAGAGGACGACCAGCCACACUGGGACUGUGACACGGCCCAGACUACUACGGGAGGCAGCAGUGGGGAAUUUUGGACAAUGGGCGCAAGCCUGAUCCAGCAAUGCCGCGUGCAGGAAGAAGGCCUUCGGGUUGUAAACUGCUUUUGUACGGAACGAAAAGGCUCUGGUUAAUACCUGGGGCUCAUGACGGUACCGUAAGAAUAAGCACCGGCUAACUACGUGCCAGCCGCCGCAGUAAAAC
rnacentral:rRNA from 1 species